rnacentral:rRNA from 1 species
UACGGAGGGUGCAAGCGUUAUCCGGAUUUAUUGGGCUUAAAGGGUCCGUAGGCGGACUCGUAAGUCAGUGGUGAAAUCUCACAGCUUAACUGUGAAACUGCCAUUAAUACUGCGGGUCUUGAGUGUUGUUGAAGUAGCUGGAAUAAGUAGUGUAGCGGUGAAAUGCAUAGAUAUUACUUAGAACACCAAUUGCGAAGGCAGGUUACUAAACAGCAACUGACGCUGAUGGACGAAAGCGUGGGGAGCGAACAGG